CCCUUAGAUGUUCUGGGCCGCACGCGCGCUACACUGACAGAGCCAGCGAGUUUAUAACCUUGGCCGGAAGGUCUGGGUAAUCUUGUGAAACUCUGUCGUGCUGGGGAUAGAGCAUUGCAAUUAUUGCUCUUCAACGAGGAAUUCCUAGUAAGCGUGAGUCAUCAGCUCGCGUUGAUUACGUCCCUGCCCUUUGUACACACCGCCCGUCGCUACUACCGAUUGAAUGGCUUAGUGAGGUCUUGGGAUUGGCUUCGGGGAGCCGGCAACGGCACCCUGUCGCUGAGAACUUGAUCAAACUUGGUCAUUUAGAGGAAGUAAAAGUCGUANCA
rnacentral:rRNA from 1 species